rnacentral:lncRNA from 1 species
CUUUGAAAUGGGAAAUUCUUUCCUAGUGCCUCGAACGUAAUAAAUGACUUGAAGUGGGUAAGAAGAGGCUACAAGAAUGAAUGAGUGAGUGAGUGAACGUAAUAAAUGACUUGAAGUGGGUAAGAGGCUACAAGAAUGAAUGAGUGAGUGAGUGAGUGAAUGUAAUAAAUGACUUGAAGUGGGUAAGAGGCUACAAGAAUGAAUGAGUGAGUGAGUGAGUGAAUGUAAUAAAUGACUUGAAGUGGGUAAGAGGCUACAAGAAUGAAUGAGUGAGUGAGUGAGUGAAUGUAAUAAAUGACUUGAAGUGGGUAAGAGGCUACAAGAAUGAAUGAGUGAGUGAGUGAGUGAAUGUAAUAAAUGACUUGAAGUGGGUAAGAGGCUACAAGAGUGAAUGAGUGAAUGAGUGAGUGAAUGGUGGGCAGGAUAUGAGGAGCCUUAAGGAUUUACCUCCAGCAGGGAUGGGGCAAGUGACCAAUGGAGCUCCAAGCAUCUGCGGGAGGUAAACAGCAGAUGUAUAAAAGGAGCCUUCUCGAGAGCCUGCAGGUCUAAGACCACAGCGAUAGGAGGACAGGGCAAGAACCUCUGUUCCAGAAGGAUUGGGACCAGGAAGAAAGCUGCAGAGAGGCAGGCUCGUGCUCACCUGCAGUCAUGCCCAUCUUGCCCACCUGCUGUCUGCGACUAGGCCAACUCCUAAACCUCUCUGAAGCUUAAGACCUGCCACAGUGGGCUGUGCCAGAGUUGGAGUGGAGACUCACUGAGAUCAUCUAGAAGAGGCACCUGCCUCAAAGCCUUCAGGUCUGCAUUGUGUUUUUCUAGGGUCACUCAUCUAUUCAUCCAACAAAUAUUCAACAAGCACCUGUUACAUACCAGAUUAUUACAUACAUGUGGCAGUGCACGUAACUGUGAAGCUGUGUACUACAGCUGCAGGGCGAGGACUGGGGCUUUAGCUCCCACCUUGUGCAAUGUGGGAUCUUCUCCAUCGUCAUAUCAAGCCACCCCACGUGUAUUUAAUGUAAGUUGGAACACUGUGCUUGCUACAAAAGUCAGCUUCAGAAGAAGCCCCUCCGUGGAUCACCACCUCCCUACAAGCUGCAGUCCUAAUCUCCUAUGUCAAAAUCAGGGACUGCUGCUGCCCCGGGGGGUUUAGAGAUGAAGACCCAGACUCUGACUGAGGAGUCUCCCAGUGAAAGGAAGGAGGCAGAAGCCCAGUCACCAGUGACGCCACCCAGCUGAGUGGACCGCGCAGAGGGAGGCGGACGCAGGGCACUCCAACAUGGACCUGAGAGGCACACACUGCAAUGCAAAUCCUCCACGAUAGUCCACAGGAUGUACUGGGAGAAACUGGAAGGCCACAGGAGAAACGUUUGCUCACGAAAACACAGGCAUUUCAUGUGCCUGGAGCACGGGAUGAAGAAUUCCUUAGACUUUGAGUGCCAAGCUAGUGCUUGGACUUUCUUCUAAAGGUCAUGGGUGAGCCCUUGGGGAAUGUGGAGACCACUCCGGCCUGCGAUGGAGAAGGAAAUUGUGCCAGAAGCUGGGAAGUCAAAGUUAACCCUCCAGGCUAGAUUGCUUGAAAUAGGUGUGCAAACAAUUCACAUAUUAUAAAUACGUUGACUUGGGCCGGGUGUGGUGGCUCACGCCUGUAAUCCCAGCACUUUAGGAGGCUGAGGCAGGAGGAUUACUUGAGGUCAGGAGUUCCAGACAAGCCUGGCCAACAUUGCAAAACCCUCUCUCUACUAAAGUACAAAAAUUAGCCGGGCAAGGUGGUCCGUGCCUGUAAUCUCAGCUACUCAGGAGGCUGAGGCAGGAGAAUCGCUUAAACCCAGGAGAUGGAAGUUGCAAUGAGGCGAGAUCACAACAACCCACUCCAGCCUGGGCGACAGAGCAAGACCCUGUCUCAAAUAAAUAACUAAAAUGAAAAUAAAUAAAUUGAUUUGUUUUCAUUCAUAUAUUUUGGGGAUACAAUGGAGCUUAAAGUUUGAAAACCAAAACGGAGCUGGCCACCAAAGGUGUGGAUUUGGUCAACAGGGUGUGGACUCCAGCAGCCCGUGUCACUCUCAGACUCCAUGUCUCAAUUUGAAUGUUUCCAUGUCACUUAAAAAGUAGAAUAUUCAUAGUGAUGUUGAAGAUACAAAAGAUAUACCAGGAUUAAUUUUCUAGUCAAUUUUAUGUGUCUGUGACCCAAGACAAUAAAAGUUAAGUCAUCGUUAGUUCCUUAGUUGCUGGACACUUUAGCCCAAUAUACCACCUUCAAUUUUGAAUUAUUAUUUGGACUGUGUUCAUGAGAUUCUUGGAGUAUGUUAAAUCAACACAUUUCUUUGUAAUUAUUGAGAACCUUUUGUUCCCUAUAAAAUCAAGUGUACGAUGAUGUAAACUAUAAAACGCAAAUUGUAGGGACAAUUGGUAAUCUGCAGUGAAAAUAAAGUCAAAAUAGCAAAGAGCAGAUUAUUCUCAAAUUUAUGUAACAGAGUUCUUACAUGUGGAAGUGGAUACAAGUAUUAGCACAUUCAGUUGAUGUACUGAAAAUAAAAUGAAACUAUUUUUCUACUUACUACUUGCUUGUGAAAUCCAAAGGGGUGAAUAAGAGCCAGGAUUCAUUGUCAUGAGUGUAGGGGUGCCCUGGGAAGGAGGCCUCCAUCCCACGUGUCAGUGGCGUCAUCAGAAAUUCCAUGAUCGUCGGCUUAUUCUUUGCACACGUGUCUACAGGGUCCCUCCGCACACCGACUUGGUGUCCUCCAGGAUGCAGAAAACCCAAAUUAAACUAGUUUAAUGAAUAAGGAAACUAAGUGGCUCUUAGGACCAUAAGCCCUGCGGUGACGCCUGCUUCAGGGCUGGAGGAGCUAAGUGUUCUCUGGUUCACCAAAGCCCCCAGUUCUUUCCGUCUGUCACUCAUAGCUUCGGCUUCGUCCCCGGCUCACUGCCAGUGGUAAUCAGGCUGCCCAAGAACUUCUGAAAUCCACAGCCCGGUGUUUCCAAACGAAUUAUCAGUAGGGUUGGAAUCCCUUCUCCCCAGCCCCAGCCCCAGCAAGGCCCUCCAACGCCACUGCAGUUCCCUGGAUAGCAGGAAGAGGCCUGAGCCGGCUCUCCCGGAGCUCCAGGUGCAGAGUCUCCCCACAUGGGAGUCAGUGUUCUCAGAGCAGCAUUUGUUGACCUGAGCUAACCAAGUUCUCUAACUGAAAGCCUGGCUGUGUAAAGCCACAGAUGUCUGGCAUUAGAAUAGCUCAAGGACAGGAGAAAAAACUGACAAUCAGUCCAGAACGGCAUCCCAGGACUUCUGCUCUGAGGAGAAAACAGGACUAAACCCCAGCUGAGGUCUAUUUCCAACUCCAAGAUUCUGCAAUGUUAUCUCUGUUUAAAAAGAUAUCCCACUUUUUGAUGACAGUGUGUCUGGAAUUGGUGGGUUCUUGGUCUCACUGACUUCAAGAAUGCAGCUGCGGACCCUGGCGGCAUGUUUUCCACCAGCCACCCACGCUGAUUAGCUUGAGAGUGACUCAAGGCAGGAACGAUGCCCUUGUCGUAGAACAGCCUCUGAUCGAGUGCUUGCUGAACAGCUGGCUAGCUCUGAGCAUGAAGCAAAAUGCAGGAAGCUGGGGUGUGUGAGGAGGAGCAGGGACAGCUUAAAGAAGAGAGGAGGGAGAGGAGGGGGACUCCUGCUUGGGGCACCCCACCUCCUGGAUAUGAGAUCACUUGUGUGGAGCAGGCCUAGUAGCAGGUAAGUGGGCCGAAGGGGAGGGAGUGAAAAAGUCCAUGUAUUGAGUCACCUGAGGUGUCAUUUAAAGAGACAGGAAUAACAAAACAUCAAUGGGACCUAAGUUGAGAUUAGAAUUACCGACUUGACUUGUAGUGUCACCUGCCACCCAGGGUGAGGAAUGUCCCUUACCACAAGGUCACCUGGGGUCUGAGAUUUGAAAUCUGUCAGCCUUUCUGGGCUGGUCUCUUGCCUCAGUUUAUGCUCACACAGCUGCCUCAGGAUCAGUGUGGACAGAAAGGUACGUGAGACUGUGCAACGGAGAUGGGCUGGGAGAAUGAGGAAGAGGGGAGGGACAGGAGGUGUCCAUCACCUGGACACGGGACUGAACAACCACACAACCUCAUGGCGGACACCAGCACACCUUGACCUUUGCUCAUAAGUCUGUGAGUCGGGAUGGGGGGCUGGCGACGGCUCAUCCUGCUGGGCUUCCUACGUGUCUGAGACAACCGGAUGGACUGGUGCCGGCUCCGUGUGGUCUCUCUUCAUCUCGCAGAUUUGCCUGGGCUUGUUUCCCAGCAGACAGCUUCUGAGGAUAGGUUUGGGACGGGCACCUGCCACUUCCUCCACAUUCCAUUGGCCACAGUGAGUUGCAAGGCUGGCCAGACUCAGGAGUGCAGAGAAAUACCCUCUACUUCCAGAUGAGAAGAGCCACAAAGUGACAUCACCGCAGGCUGGAUGCAGGGCAGGGCAAGACAGCGGAACGCGUGGGCUGUUUUGACAGUCAGUCUACCCCAGGAUGCUCCAGGAAGGGGAAAAGGACAAGGGAAGAGGGGCGCUGUGGCCAAGCAGGGGAACUUCUGUGUUCAAAAUCUUGGAGAUGGAUCACUUUCAGUUCCCGAUAAGGCUUAGUGUAUGGCCCUGAGACUUGCCGUUUGAUACUAUAAUCUGUCAUAUACAAUGUAACUUAGUGAAUUGGGUAAAGGAUCUUCAGGGUUUAUUUUGAAUGGUUGUCAUUUAUUAUAAAAUUAAUUUAUUUUAUAAUAAUUUUAUCUAAUUGGCUGGGCAUGGUGGCUCAAACCUGUAAUCUCAGCACUUUGUGAGAGCAGAUUGCUUGAACCCAGGAUCUUGAGACCAGCAUGAGCAACAUAGCAAGACCUCAUCUCUACUAAAAAAAAAAUCCAAAAAAUUAGCCAGGCGUGGUGCCAUGUGCCUGUAGUCCCAGCUACCUGGGAGGCUGAGGUGGAAGGAUCGCUUGAGCCCAGGAGGUCAAGGCUGCAAUAAGGUAUGAUCAUGCCACUGCACUCCAGCAUGGGCAACAGAGCAAGACCCUGUCUCCAAAUAAUAAUUUGAUAUCAAUUUGUAAUAAUUUAUUUUAAAAGAAUUGUAUGAAGGACCCAUGCCUUGGGGCAUAGGGGCACUGAUAGAAGGUAGGUGAUCAGUAUAGAUAUUUGCUGCAUUAAUCUAUUUCAGUCACCUGUGAGAUGAUUCAGGUAGAAGGAAAGUGAGGCCCCGAGAGGUCAAAUGUUUGCUGAGUCCCACACAGGUGAACACACUUUUCUCCUGGAUCCUAGUCUACCCCACCUUCUUUUCUCCUUUUGAAAAUUAAUGUUUUGUAAGUGAUUAAAAAGAAAAAUGAUCGGGCUGGGCAUGGUGGUUCAUGCCUGCAAUCCCAGCACUUUGGGAGGCUGAGGCGGGCAGAUCAAAAGGUCAGGAGUUUGAGAUCAGCCUGGCCAACAUAGUGAAACCCCC